rnacentral:rRNA from 1 species
GACGAACGCUGGCGGCGUGCUUAACACAUGCAAGUGGAGCGACGAACCAGGGCUUGCCCUGGGGCAGAGCCGCGAACGGGUGAGUAACACGUGGGUAACGUGCCCCAAUGAUCGGGACAACCCGGGGAAACCCGGGCUAAUACCGAAUGUGCUCCCCUCACACCAGUGAGGGAUGGAAAGGAAGCUUCGGCCUCCGCAUUGGGAUCGGCCCGCGGCCCAUUAGCUUGUUGGUGAGGUAAAGGCUCACCAAGGCUGCGAUGGGUAGCUGGUCUGAGAGGACGAUCAGCCAACCUGGGCCUGCGACACGGCCCAGACUCCUACGGGAGGCAGCAGUGGGGAAUCUUGCGCAAUGCGCGAAAGCGUGACGCAGCAACGCCGCGUGGGGGAAGAAGGCCUUCGGGUUGUAAACCCCUUUCAGGAGGGACGAAGCCCUGGCGGUUAAUAGCCGACCGAGGUGACGGUACCUCCAGAAGAAGCCCCGGCUAACUACGUGCCAGCAGCCGCGGUAAAAC